rnacentral:rRNA from 1 species
UGGGGAAUAUUGCGCAAUGGGCGAAAGCCUGACGCAGCAACGCCGCGUGAGUGAUGAAGGCCUUCGGGUCGUAAAGCUCUGUCGGAGGGAACGAAUGCUCUUGAGGUUAACAGCCUCAGGAAAUGACGGUACCCUCAAAGGAAGCACCGGCUAACUCUGUGCCAGCAGCCGCGGUAAUACGUAGGGACCAAGCGUUGUUCGGAUUUACUGGGCGUAAAGGGCGCGUAGGCGGCAUGACAAGUCACUUGUGAAAUCUCUGGGCUUAACCCAGAACGGCCAAGUGAUACUGUCGCGCUAGAGUGCAGAAGGGGCAAUCGGAAUUCUUGGUGUAGCGGUGAAAUGCGUAGAUAUCAAGAGGAACACCUGAGGUGAAGACGGGUUGCUGGGCUGACACUGACGCUGAGGCGCGAAAGCCAGGGGAGCAAACGGGAUUAGAUACCCGCGUAGUCCCUGAGCGGGCUGGCAAGGCGCAU